ACUCGGCCUUUUGCGUCUGGGAAGCGCUGUACUUGGGUGUACGCAGGCUUUGUGGCUGUGUGUUCUGUGCGCCAAGAUGAUAACUGGGGCGAAACUGACUGGCUUAGCUAAAAUGCAAGGGACGCGAGAAUCGUGUUGUAGCGGUGGGUCAGGGUCAGCUUUGGAAACCUCUCGGCUUAGACGCCUGACCGGACUGCGGCGCCCCUUAGGUCACGGGGCGGCCGCGUGCGGCCCCGGGCCCUAAACCCCGGCGCGCCUGGGCCACGGCCCGGGGGAAGGUUCCGAGCACCUGACGGCCGCGGCCAAGGUCGUUAGUGCCGCCAUCGGUGUCGUGUGGCCAUCUUGAGUCUGCUGUCACUGUUCCUGGGCGUCGGCACCCUGAGAACCGCCAGUUUGACCCCGACGGAAGCUGAGCUCGUUCUUGAUUUGUGAUGGAAAGAUGACAAGGUAUCAAAUCCAAAGUGAUCGUGAGCGAAGUCUUACAGCAGUAUCCUGCAGUGGAUUACCAAAACUUCUUAAUCGUACUUGGAGGAAAAGGUGUUUCCAGUAAUGCUCUGGAAACUACCGGGGCACCAACUUUAAAUAUAGGCCUGAGUUUUUUAGAGGGGGUUCCUUGAUAAUUAAAUAAAAUGCUUGAUUCAUGUGGAAA